rnacentral:rRNA from 1 species
GAUGAACGCUGGCGGCGUGCCUAAUACAUGCAAGUCGAGCGGUAACACUUCGGGUGACGAGCGGCGGACGGCUGAGUAACGCGUAGGAACAUACCCCAAAGUGAGGAAUAAGCACCGGAAACGGUGUCUAAUACCGCAUGUGGUCUUCGGAUUAAAGCUUCGGCGCUUUGGGAAUGGCCUGCGUAUGAUUAGCUUGUUGGUGAGGUAAUGGCUCACCAAGGCGACGAUCAUUAGCUGGUCUGAGAGGAUGAUCAGCCAGACUGGGACUGAGAACGGCCCAGACUCCUACGGGAGGCAGCAGUAGGGAAUUUUCCACAAUGGACGAAAGUCUGAUGGAGCAACGCCGCGUGCAGGAUGAAUGCCUUCGGGUUGUAAACUGCUUUUCUCUGUGACGAUUAUGACGGUAGCAGAGGAAUAAGGAUCGGCUAACUCCGUGCCAGCAGCCGCCGUAA